rnacentral:rRNA from 1 species
AACGAACGCUGGCGGCAGGCCUAACACAUGCAAGUCGAGCGAGGACUUCGGUCCUAGCGGCGGACGGGUUAGUAACGCGUGGGAACGUGCCCAAAGGUACGGAAUAGCCUCGGGAAACUGAGAGUAAUACCGUAUGUGCCCGAAAGGGGAAAGAUUUAUCGCCUUUGGAUCGGCCCGCGUUGGAUUAGGUAGUUGGUGGGGUAACGGCCUACCAAGCCGACGAUCCAUAGCUGGUUUGAGAGGAUGAUCAGCAACACUGGGACUGAGACACGGCCCAGACUCCUACGGGAGGCAGCAGUGGGGAAUCUUAGACAAUGGGGGAAACCCUGAUCUAGCCAUGCCGCGUGAGCGAUGAAGGCCUUAGGGUUGUAAAGCUCUUUCACCGGGGAAGAUAAUGACGGUACCCGGAGAAGAAGCCCCGGCUAACUCCGUGCCAGCCGCCGCCGUAAAAC